AAUGAACGUUGGCGGCGUGGAUUAGGCAUGCAAGUCGAGCGAGAACCCCGCAAGGGGGGACAGCGGCGAAAGGGACAGUACUGUGUAGAUUAUCUGCCCUCAGGUCCGGGAUAGCUGCGGGAAACUGCAGGUAAUACCGGAUAACAUCUCCGGAUCAAAGGUGUGAUUCCGCCUGAGGAUGAGUCUGCAUCCUAUUAGCUAGUUGGUGGGGUAAUGGCCUACCAAGGCAUUGAUGGGUAGCAGGUGUGAGAGCACGACCUGCGUCAUUGGGACUGAGACACUGCCCAGACACCUACGGGUGGCUGCAGUCGAGAAUCUUCGGCAAUGGGCGCAAGCCUGACCGAGCGACGCCGCGUGUGGGAUGAAGGCCUUCGGGUUGUAAACCACUGUCAGAGGGGAUGAAAUGCAGGUGGGUUCUCCCAUCUGUUUGACAUAGCCUCAGAGGAAGGACGGGCUAAGUUCGUG
rnacentral:rRNA from 1 species